rnacentral:lncRNA from 12 species
CAGCAGUGAGCUUUAGGUGUUUUCCAGAUGAAGUGUUGGACCAAAUGAGCCUACUGGUCUAUCAUUGUAAGGAGUCUGUAAAAGCAGCUUCUGUUUAAAGAUCUCUGCUUACUGCAUAGUGCAUCAUUUUUCCACAAUAUUGGAAGCCUGGUCAUGUGCAGAGAUUUUCUUAUCUAAGGAUACCAGCUGUUUACUGGAGGAUGAAACUAGUUGUUCCUUUCUCAAGCAAUGUCUGUCAUAAGGAGACAAAAAUGCAGACCAGUUACUUCAAAUUUCCUCAAGGCUUUGAUAAUGUUCUCAGCACACUGCUGCCAAAUGUAAGACAGAGGAAAGAGGUGCACCAACAGCAGCCCAAGGAGGUGCAGCACUGUGGGUGUGUUACAUAAAUUGCCACAAUGGAGUGUAUUUCAGAUCCUUCGGCUCAGAGGCCAUCUGUCAUUGAAAGUGGCACAUUCACCUGCCCAUCACUUCUGCAGCAAUGUGUGCACUAGGCAGGGCAUAUCCCCAUGAACUUAAUAGGAGCAGCUCUUCAUGCAGCUGACUUUGGAAAGACUUGGUAAUCAAGACACUUUUUC